rnacentral:rRNA from 1 species
GACGAACGCUGGCGGCGUGCUUAACACAUGCAAGUCGAGCGGUAAGGCCCUUUCGGGGGUACACGAGCGGCGAACGGGUGAGUAACACGUGGGUGACCUGCCCUUAGCUCUGGGAUAAGCCUGGGAAACUGGGUCUAAUACCGGAUAUGACUCCAUGACGCAUGUUGUGGGGUGGAAAGCCUUGUGCGGCUAGGGGAUGGGCCCGCGGCCUAUCAGCUUGUUGGUGGGGUGAUGGCCACCAAGGCGACGACGGGUAGCCGGCCUGAGAGGGCGACCGGCCACACUGGGACUGAGACACGGCCCAGACUCCUACGGGAGGCAGCAGUGGGGAAUCUUGCGCAAUGGGCGAAAGCCUGACGCAGCGACGCCGCGUGGGGAUGACGGCCUCGG